GGAUUAGGCAUGCAAGUCGAACGCGAAAGCCCGCAAGGGUAAGUAGAGUGGCGUAAGGGUGAGCAAUGCAUAGGUAACCUACCCACGAGUCUGGGAUAACCCAUCGAAAGGUGGGCUAAUACCGGAUAUGAUCACAGGGCCGCAUGGCCCAGGGAUAAAAGCGGGGGACCCUACGGGGCCUCGCACUUGUGGAGGGGCUUAUGUCCUAUCAGCUUGUUGGUAGGGUAACGGCCUACCAAGGCAACGACGGGUAGCCGAUCUUGGCGGAUGACCGGCCACACUGGACUGAGAUACUGCCCAGACUCCUACGGGAGGCUGCAGUCGAGAAUCUUCUGCAAUGGGCGCAAGCCUGACAGAGCGACGCCGCGUGGAGGAAGAAGGUCUUCGGGUUGUAAACUCCUGUCACGGGUUAUGAAGAGUGGUUUGAUUAAUACUUGAGCCUUUCUGACAAAGGCCCGAGAGGAAGCCACGGCUAACUCUGUGCCAGCAGCCGCGGUAAUUCAGAGGUGGCAAGCGUUGUUCGGAACCACUGGGCGUAAAGGGCGCGUAGGCGGUGGCGUAAGUUCGUGGUGAAAUCCCCCGGCUCAACCGGGGAAUGGCUGCGGAUACUGCGCCGCUUGAGGAUGAGAGGGGAGAGUGGAACUUCUGGUGGAGCGGUGAAAUGCGUAGAUAUCAGAAGGAACGCCGGAGGCGAAAGCGACUCUCUGGAUCAUUCCUGACGUUGAGGCGCGAAAGCUAGGGGAGCAAAAGGGAUUAGAUACCCCUGUAGUCCUAGCCGUAAACGAUGGGCACUAAGUAGAGGGGUUUU
rnacentral:rRNA from 1 species